GACGAACGCUGGCGGCGUGCUUAACACAUGCAAGUCGAGCGGUAAGGCCCUUUCGGGGGUACACGAGCGGCGAACGGGUGAGUAACACGUGGGUGACCUGCCCUCAGCUCUGGGAUAAGCCUGGGAAACCGGGUCUAAUACUGGAUAUGACUCCAUGACGCAUGUCGUGGGGUGGAAAGCCUUGUGCGGCUGAGGAUGGGCCCGCGGCCUAUCAGCUUGUUGGUGGGGUGAUGGCCUACCAAGGCGACGACGGGUAGCCGGCCUGAGAGGGCGACCGGCCACACUGGGACUGAGACACGGCCCAGACUCCUACGGGAGGCAGCAGUGGGGAAUCUUGCGCAAUGGGCGAAAGCCUGACGCAGCGACGCCGCGUGAGGGAUGACGGCCU
rnacentral:rRNA from 1 species